rnacentral:rRNA from 1 species
GGGCCCGCACAAGCAGUGGAGUAUGUGGUUUAAUUCGACGCAACGCGAAAACCUUACCAGGGCUUGACAUCCCGCGGAUCCGGCGGAAACGCCGGGGUGCCCUUCGGGGAGCACGGAGACAGGUGGUGCAUGGUUGUCGUCAGCUCGUGUCGUGAGAUGUUGGGUUAAGUCCCGCAACGAGCGCAACCCUUGCGGCCAGUUGCUACGAAAGAGCGCUCUGGCCGGACUGCCGUUGACAAAACGGAGGAAGGCGGGGACGACGUCAAAUCAUCAUGCCCUUUAUGCCCUGGGCUACACACGUACUACAAUGGCGGCCACACAGCGGGCAGCGACGCGGCGACGCGGAGCCAAUCCCCAAAAGCCGCCUCAGUUCGGAUCGCAGGCUGCAACCCGCCUGCGUGAAGUCGGAAUUGCUAGUAAUCGCGGAUCAGCAUGCCG